UACGUAGGGGGCGAGCGUUACCCGGAUUCACUGGGCGUAAAGGGGGUGUAGGCGGCUCGGUAAGUCGGGUGUGAAAUCCCACGGCUCAACCGUGGAAUUGCGCCCGAAACUGCCGAGCUUGGGGCCGGUAGAGGGAGACGGAACUGCCGGUGUAGGGGUGAAAUCCGUAGAUAUCGGCAGGAACGCCGGUGGGGAAGCCGGUCUCCUGGGCCGCGCCCGACGCUGAGGCCCGAAAGCUAGGGGAGCAAACCGG
rnacentral:rRNA from 1 species